UGUUCCUUUUCUUUCGGGACAGCGAGACGGUGGUGCAUGGUUGUCGUCCGCUCGUGUCGUGAGAUGUUGGGUUAAGUCCCGCAACGAGCGCAACCCUUGUCCUUAGUAGCCAGCAGGUUGGGNNGGGCACUCUNGAGAGACUGCCGGGGAUAACCCGGAGGAAGGUGGGGAUGACGUCAAAUCAUCAUGCCCCUUAUGAUUUGGGCUACACACGUGCUACAAUGGCGUAAACAAAGGGAAGCGACGCUGUGAAGAUGAGCAAAUCCCAAAAAUAACGUCUCAGUUCGGAUUGUAUUCUGCACCUCGACUACAUGAAGCUGGAAUCGCUAGUAAUCGCGAAUCAAAAUGUCGCGGUGAAUACGUUCCCGGGUCUUGUACACACCGCCCGUCACACCAUGGGAGUCGAAAAUGCCCAAAA
rnacentral:rRNA from 1 species